rnacentral:lncRNA from 1 species
AUUCGAAAAGACUCCGACACGCGCGCAAUUAAUGCCCAAAAUAUCUGGGGGCCGCAGUGCGCGGGAUUCGAGGGGACGGCUUCGGCUGUACCCAUCUCUCUGUACUUCCUUCGUUCGAAAUUCAAACUCGGAAGUAGGGGGAUUGGUGUUGGGUAUAAAAUACCCACAGCCGAAGUCCUCAACAGAAUCAACGAUUCCGCCCACGAUGUCGACCUCAAGUAGACUCCGCCCGGACUCCUACGGGAGCCGGGCUCCGUCCUCAACGUCAACUGCUGGUAAGCCCCGUCCGGACUCCUACGGGAGCCGGACUUCGCUUUAACUUUAAUU